rnacentral:rRNA from 1 species
UACAGAGGUGGCAAGCGUUGUUCGGAAUUACUGGGCGUAAAGGGCGCGUAGGCGGUCUUCUAAGUCCUGUGUGAAAUCCCUCGGCUCAACUGAGGAACUGCACGGGAUACUGGAAGACUUGAGUUCGGGAGAGGGAAGCGGAAUUCCGGGUGUAGCGGUGAAAUGCGUAGAUAUCCGGAGGAACACCGGUGGCGAAGGCGGCUUCCUGGACCGAUUACUGACGCUGAGGCGCGAAAGCUAGGGGAGCAAACGGG